rnacentral:rRNA from 1 species
AUUGAACGCUGGCGGCAGGCCUAACACAUGCCAGUCGAACGGUAACAGGAAGAAGCUUGCUUCUUUGCUGACGAGUGGCGGACGGGUGAGUAAUGUCUGGGAAACUGCCUGAUGGAGGGGGAUAACUACUGGAAACGGUAGCUAAUACCGCAUAACGUCGCAAGACCAAAGAGGGGGACCUUCGGGCCUCUUGCCAUCGGAUGUGCCCAGAUGGGAUUAGCUAGUAGGUGGGGUAACGGCUCACCUAGGCGACGAUCCCUAGCUGGUCUGAGAGGAUGACCAGCCACACUGGAACGGAGACACGGUCCAGACUCCUACGGGAGGCAGCAGUGUGGAAUAUUGCACAGUGGGCGCAAGCCUGAUGCAGCCAUGCCGCGUGUAUGAAGAAGGCCUUCGGGUUGUAAAGUACUUUCAGCGGGGAGGAAGGGAGUAAAGUUAAUACCUUUGCUCAUUGACGUUACCCGCAGAAGAAGCACCGGCUAACUCCGUG